GGUAAAUAGUGUUAUUCCACUUGCCACUGUUAUUAUUAUCAUUAUAUUGUACUGUGGUGGUUUGCUCUUGGGCGUGUCCGCCUUGGUGCUGGCGUAUUUACGUCAUCAGCUGCGUCUGAUGUUUGCCAGUAUUGAGACGGAUACGGUCGAGUGUGUGAAUGACCCGGCUGCAGGCUAACCGCUCCUGAUCAGCACUCUUGUAUUUUGUACAG